rnacentral:rRNA from 1 species
ACGAACGCUGGCGGCGUGCUUAACACAUGCAAGUCGAACGAAGAGCGACGGAAGCUUGCUUCUAUCAAUCUUAGUGGCGAACGGGUGAGUAACGCGUAAUCAACCUGCCCUUCAGAGGGGGACAACAGUUGGAAACGACUGCUAAUACCGCAUACGACCUAACGUCGGCAUCGAGGAAAGAUGAAAGGUGGCCUCUACAAGUAAGCUAUCACUGAUGGAGGGGAUUGCGUCUGAUUAGCUAGUUGGAGGGGUAACGGGCCACCGAGGCGAUGAUGAGUAGCCGGUCUGAGACGAAGAACAGCCACAUUGAGACUGAGACACGGCCCAGACUCCUACGGGAGGCAGCAGUGGGGAAUCUGCCGCAAUGGACGAAAGUCUGACGGAGCAACGCCGCGGGAGUGAUGACGGCCUUCGGGUUGUAAAGCUCUGUUUGUCGGGACGAAAGGCCUUCUUGCGAUAAGUGAGAAGGAUUGACGGUACCGGAAGAGAAAGCCACGGCUAACUACGUG